GAUUGUAUGAAGCAACCCCUUCGGCCAACUCCUGUCUUCCUGGGAAGGCCCCUGGGAGAAACAGCUGAAGAAGUUGAAGCCGAAGAGUUCGAAUGUCUUGCCGAGACCCUUCUGCUGUGAAAAAAAAAUGCAAGCAGCCUGAAGAGAACUUCCACAG